rnacentral:rRNA from 1 species
AUGUCAACAUGAGCUAACCUGGGUCUCCAAGAUAGAGCUUCUCCCCUGAUGGAACAACUAACUUUCUUCCACGACCAUGCCCUUUUAAUUCUAGUAAUAAUUACUGUCCUAGUAGGAUAUUUAAUAGUAAUAUUACUUUUUAACAACUACACAAACCGCUUUCUCCUUCACGGCCAAACGAUCGAAGUAAUCUGAACUAUCCUCCCGGCUAUCGUUCUUCUAUUUAUCGCUCUCCCAUCCCUGCGACUUCUUUAUCUCCUAGAUGAAAUUAAUGAACCCGUCCUAACCCUGAAAUCCAUCGGGCAUCAAUGGUACUGAAGCUACGAAUACUCUGACUUCCUAGACUUAGAUUUUGACUCCUACAUAAUUCCCACCCAAGAACUUACAAACGACGGAUUCCGACUUCUAGACGUUGAUAACCGGGUAAUCUUACCCAUAAACUCACAAAUUCGAGUACUAGUAACUGCCGCAGAUGUUAUCCACUCAUGGACGGUACCAGCCCUGGGGGUAAAAGUAGACGGCACUCCAGGACGAUUAAAUCAAACUAACUUCUUAAUCAACCGGCCCGGUCUAUUUUUCGGUCAAUGCUCUGAAAUCUGCGGGGCCAACCACAGCUUCAUACCUAUUGUAAUCGAAAGUGUACCCGUCCCCCACUUCAUUAAAUGGGUACUU